CAUUUUCAAAACUUUUUAAUUUCAGCAAAAUUAUUACAAAACAUUUCGUUGUUAAACAUCACUUCAAUUAAAAUUAACAAAUUUGCCUUCCAUAAUAAGAACAAUCAUUGUCUUCGGAAGUAUUGCCAAUGGAGAACAUUGCAUAACAAGAAUACGCUCCUUUAUCAUUUGUAUAAAUUUGUCCUCUAUUGGGCGCCGGUAAAUUGCCACAGAGACGCCAAGGUCCUUGGAAAACUUGGAAAGAUCCGAAAAAUGGAUUCGCCAUGGGAUUUGCCAAUGUCAAGCUCAAAACGGUUAGUAAAAGGAAUGCUUUCAACAUGAACAUUGCUAAAUAUACUCAAAGCUAACCCAAGAUAAACUGUGCUUUUAGCUACUACGAACGUCUCUUUUAAA